rnacentral:rRNA from 1 species
AGGAUUAACGCUGGCGGCGUGCAUGAAACAUGCAAGUCGAGCGCGGUGUGAUGCGGGGUAACCCAAUUCACAUCUAGCGGCGAACGGGUGAGUAACACGUGAGCAACCUACCUUUGAGUUGGGGAUAGCCCUGGGAAACCAGGAUUAAUACCCGAUGUGGUCACAACAGGACAUCCUGAUGUGAGUAAAGGCGUAAGCCGCUCAAUGACGGGCUCGCGGCCUAUUAGCUUGUUGGUGGGGUAACGGCCUACCAAGGCUAAGACGGGUAGCUGGUCUGAGAGGACGACCAGCCACACUGGAACUGAGACACGGUCCAGACACCUACGGGUGGCAGCAGUCGAGAAUUUUUCUCAAUGGGCGAAAGCCUGAAGGAGCGACGCCGCGUGGGGAUGAAUGGCUUCGGCCCGUAAACCCCUGUCAUUUGUGAACAAUUGUUUCAUCUAACACAUGAAAUAUUGAUAGUAACGGAAGAGGAAGGGACGGCUAACUCUGUGCCAGCA